AAUUUUAACUGGCGUAGGGGAUACGGUGAUCAUGCAGGCGGUUCUCCCAGGGCGAGCCUGCUCCAUUGCACUACGGAUUGGUUGACCCAUGCGAUUAUUUUUAUUUUUAUCAAUAAAAAAAUCAUAAUUAAUAAAAAAUGUAUACCCGAAUAAUUAUUUUCUUUAUAC